GGAAAUGCGUUCUUCCUCCGCCUUCCGCCUCCUCCACCCUCCCUCACCCCCUCACUGCCACAUAUCUCUGAGGUCAUUUCAGCCCUGGACUUCUGCCCGAUGAGAAGGAGCCCCAGAGGCCGGGCAGCUAUGUGUUGGGGGCGAGGGGUGAGUGGUGGUGUGGACCAAGCGGCUUUCUCCGCUCCUGGGCUCCCCUGACCCGGCCUGCGGCCCCAGGGUGCCAGGAGGGCUUGCGGUCAGAGACCCCACCCUUGGCUCCAGUUCACGAGUGACGUAACCCAGUGUCUGGACUCAGAGAAUCAUGAAAUGUUUAUUUGGAAUAACAGCCACCCCCUCCAUCGCCACCGCUUAUUCAGUUCGUAGCCUGUGCCAAGAGCUCGAGCCUGUCUCGUGAAGCCUCACCGACGCCCCUCCAAAACAGGUUUCUCUACCUGGAUGUUCUUUCCAAUUCAGAUGCCACUUGCUCAGUGAAGCUUUCUCUCAUCUCUCCAGCCAGGAGGGGGCCCUCGCCUGGCAUGAUACCUCUGCCCCUCCCGAAGAUAUGCCACCUAGCAUGAGGAUCCUGGCAGACAUUUACACACUGGCAGAAGCUCCCCUAACAGUAUUUGUGACAGUUGUUCCUCCUCUGCACAGGGCAUAUAGUAAGUGUUCAAUGAAUCUUCACUGAAUGAUGAACAAAGAAGUGAUUCUUAAGUCUCACUGUCCCCUUCUUCUCCCGACAACAUGAUACACUGUAAUCCUUCUUCCAGACUAACAAACAGAUGUCACACGCAACUUCCCAAUUUGAGUUUAAGACUGUACAAGAAAGGAAACGAAGCCGUAUUUGAGCAAGCACUCCUGCUGUGUUAUCUCACCAAAUCCCCACUCCACCCCUGCAAGCACACCUUGGAGACAUUGCAGGUUUGGUUCAGAACCACCACCAUGAAACAAAUACCGCAGUAAAGCAAGUCAAAUGAAUUUUUUGGUUUCCUAGUACAUUUAAAGUUAUGUUUACACUAUACUGUAGUCUGCUAAGUGUGCAAAAGGCAUCAUACCUAAAAAAAGAACCCAAUGUACAUACCUUAGUUAAAAGAUACUCCAUUGCUGGAAAAUGCUAAACAUUAUGAGCUUUCGAUGAGUCAUAAUCUGUUGCUGGUGGAGGGUCUUACCUCU